GCUGGGUGUGGUGGUGCAUGCCUGUAGUCCCAGCUACUCAGGAGGCUGAGGCAGGAGAAUCGCUAGAACCCAGGAGGCAGAGGCCACAGUGAGCCGACAUCAUACCACUGCCCUCUAGCCUGGGUGACAGAGUGAGAUUCUGUCUCAA
rnacentral:SRP_RNA from 1 species